UAAUGAAGGAAGCAUGGUAGUGUACACAGAGAUGGAACAAACAAGGUCCACAUGUCUGCUUGCUUUGAGCCCUUGUAGUUAUGAUUAGCAGGCCUGGAUCCGACCUACAUUU